rnacentral:tRNA from 2 species
CGGGAUGUAGCGCAGUUGGUAGCGCACUACGUUCGGGACGUAGGGGUCGCAAGUUCGAAUCUUGUCAUCCCGACAA